GGUUUGACAGAGGAAGCAGAUACUUGGAGAUAAAAGCACCAUGGUCAAGGACAGAAAUAGAAGGAAAAUUCACAGUCUCCAAAUUCUCAGUCAAGUUCCUCUGGGGCUUGCUGCUACUAAAUCUAUUUAGGGCCUUACAGUGGUGUCCAGAAGUCCUGGCCAAAUACUGGUGUCUCCGUUCUGCGAUACAACGCACACAGGUAAACAGCUUAUAGCAAGCUAAUGUUUGACAUCAGCUGCCACUUCAAAUAGUUCUGAGAGAUCAAAAGUCCUCCACUUCAGUAGGAUAAACUCUGAGUGCUCUUCGUGCAGAGGAAAGCAGCAAGAAUGAUCAAAGGUCCUGAAAACAGGCAAUAACAGACCUUCUGAUAUGUAAAACACUCUUGCAAAGAGGAAGGGAAGCUGUCUUUCUCCAGGACUGUGGCAGAUGAGAUAAAAGGAGAAGUGCUGGGAGAACUUAAUGAUGACUUAAUGGGAGAAGGCUAUCGAAUUUCUGGGUCAUUGUUCACAGAAUUAUCUACACUGUUUGAAGGGCCAGAAGCAGAUGCUUAGAAAUGAGCACCAGCUUAUGAUUUCAUAAUACAGCUUAAGCCAAGAUAAAAGCUCGCUGCUGCCAAGAGGGAAAGGUCCUGCCCUUCUUUUCGGCUUCUGCACCCCCAGCUCCCGGCUCCAUCAAGCCCAGUGUGUUGCUGGUGCUCCUCCAGACACACAUUCUGCAGCAGUUCACGGUAGCCAGAGCUGAAGGCCACACAUGAUCUCAGUAUCCAGAAAUUGUUGUUUCAUCUGGAAACUCCAUUAUGUGACUUUUUAGCCUGUUUCAUGUAAGUUAUUGAUAUGUUAAAGAAUAAAGA